GACGAACGCUGGCGGCGUGCUUAACACAUGCAAGUCGAACGGAAAGGCCCUGCUUUUGUGGGGUGCUCGAGUGGCGAACGGGUGAGUAACACGUGAGUAACCUGCCCUUGAUUUGGGGUAACUUCCAGAAACUGGGGCCAAUACCCGGUAAGAGCUCCCGGCUCCAGGGGGGGGGUGGGAAGGUUCGGCGGUUGGGGAUGGACUCGCGGCCUAUCAGCUUGUUGGUGGGGUAGUGGCUUACCAAGGCUUUGACGGGUAGCCGGCCUGAGAGGGUGACCGGCCACAUUGGGACUGAGAUACGGCCCAGACUCCUACGGGAGGCAGCAGUGGGGAAUAUUGCACAAUGGGCGGAAGCCUGAUGCAGCAACGCCGCGUGCGGGAUGACGGCCUUCGGGUUGUAAACCGCUUUCGCCUGUGACGAAGCGUGAGUGACGGUAAUGGGUAAAGAAGCACCGGCUAACUACGUG
rnacentral:rRNA from 1 species